AUUGAACGCUGGCGGAAUGCUUUACACAUGCAAGUCGAACGGCAGCACGGGGGCAACCCUGGUGGCGAGUGGCGAACGGGUGAGUAAUACAUCGGAACGUGCCCAGUCGGGGGGGAUAACUACGCGAAAGCGUAGCUAAUACCGCAUACGAACUCAGGUUGAAUGCGGGGGAUCGCAAGACCUCGCGCGAUUGGAGCGGCCGAUGGCAGAGUAGGUAGUUGGGGGGGUAAAGGCUCACCAAGCAGACGAUCUGUAGCGGGUCUGAGAGGACGACCAGCCACACUGGGACUGAGACACGGCCCAGACUCCUACGGGAGGCAGCAGUGGGGAAUUUUGGACAAUGGGCGCAAGCCUGAUCCAGCCAUUCCGCGUGCAGGAUGAAGGCCCUCGGGUUGUGAACUGCUUUUGUACGGAACGAAACGCGCCGGGCUAAUACCCUGGCGUAAUGACGGUACCGUAAGAAUAAGCACCGGCUAACUACGUGCCAGCCGCCGCCGUAAAAC
rnacentral:rRNA from 1 species